rnacentral:rRNA from 1 species
UACGUAGGGUGCGAGCGUUAAUCGGAAUUAUUGGGCGUAAAGAGCUCGUAGGCGGUGUGUCACGUCGGCCGUGAAAACCUGCAGCUUAACUGUGGGCGUGCGGUCGAUACGGGCAUCACUGGAGUUCGGCAGGGGAGACUGGAAUUCCUGGUGUAGCGGUGAAAUGCGCAGAUAUCAGGAGGAACACCGGUGGCGAAGGCGGGUCUCUGGGCCGAUACUGACGCUGAGGAGCGAAAGCGUGGGGAGCAAACAGG